GGCGGUGUAGCUCAGCUGGCUAGAGCGUACGGUUCAUACCCGUAAGGUCGGGGGUUCGAUCCCC
rnacentral:tRNA from 1 species